rnacentral:rRNA from 1 species
GUCUUCCCCUUCGGGGGACAAAGUGACAGGUGGUGCAUGGUUGUCGUCAGCUCGUGUCGUGAGAUGUUGGGUUAAGUCCCGCAACGAGCGCAACCCUUAAGCUUAGUUGCCAGCAUUAAGUUGGGCACUCUAAGUUGACUGCCGGUGACAAACCGGAGGAAGGUGGGGAUGACGUCAAAUCAUCAUGCCCCUUAUGAUUUGGGCUACACACGUGCUACAAUGGACAAUACAAAGGGCAGCUAAACCGCGAGGUCAUGCAAAUCCCAUAAAGUUGUUCUCAGUUCGGAUUGUAGUCUGCAACUCGACUACAUGAAGCUGGAAUCGCUAGUAAUCGUAGAUCAGCAUGCUACGGUGAAUACGUUCCCGGGUCUUGUACACACCGAA